rnacentral:rRNA from 1 species
AACGAACGCUGGCGGCAGGCUUAACACAUGCAAGUCGAACGCAUGCCUUCGGGCAUGAGUGGCAGACGGGUGAGUAACGCGUGGGAACCUACCCCUUGGUACGGGAUAGCUCCGGGAAACUGGAGAUAAUACCGUAUGUGUCCUGAGGGACAAAGAUUCAUCGCCAAGGGAUGGGCCCGCGUCGGAUUAGCUAGUUGGUGGGGUAACGGCCUACCAAGGCGACGAUCCGUAGCUGGUCUAAGAGGAUGAUCAGCCACAUUGGGACUGAGACACGGCCCAAACUCCGACGGGAGGCAGCAGUGGGGAGGAUUGGACAAUGGGCGCAAGCCUGAUCCAGCCAUGCCGCGGGAAUGAUGAAGGCCCUAGGGUGGUAAGGCUCUGUCACCGGUGACGAUAAUGACGGUAAGCGAAGAAGAAGCCCCGGCUAACUUCGUG